GGCGACCGGGUGAGUAACACGUGACUAACCUACCUUUGAGUGGGGAGUAACCUCGGGAAGCCGGGGCUAAUACCGCAUAACACCGAGAGGUCAAAGGAGCAAUCCGCUUGAAGAGGGGGUCGCGGCUGAUUAGCUAGUUGGCAGGGUAAUGGCCUACCAAGGCAGUGAUCAGUAUCCGGCCUGAGAGGGCGCACGGACACACUGGAACUGAAACACGGUCCAGACUCCUACGGGAGGCAGCAGUGGGGAAUUUUGCACAAUGGGGGAAACCCUGAUGCAGCAACGCCGCGUGGAGGAUGAAGCCCCUUGGGGCGUAAACUCCUUUCGAUCGGGACGAUUAUGACGGUACCGGAAGAAGAAGCACCGGCUAACUCUGUGCCAGCAGCCGCGGUAAUACAGAGGGUGCAAGCGUUGUUCGGAAUUAUUGGGCGUAAAGGGCGCGUAGGCGGUGCGGUAAGUCAGCUGUGAAAUCUCCGGGCUCAACUCGGAGCCUGCAGUUGAAACUGCCGUGCUUGAGUAUGGGAGAGGUGAGUG
rnacentral:rRNA from 1 species